rnacentral:rRNA from 1 species
AAAUUGAAGAGUUUGAUCAUGGCUCAGAUUGAACGCUGGCGGCAGGCCUAACACAUGCAAGUCGAACGGUAACAGGAAGCAGCUUGCUGCUUCGCUGACGAGUGGCGGACGGGUGAGUAAUGUCUGGGAAACUGCCUGAUGGAGGGGGAUAACUACUGGAAACGGUGGCUAAUACCGCAUAACGUCGCAAGACCAAAGAGGGGGACCUUCGGGCCUCUUGCCAUCAGAUGUGCCCAGAUGGGAUUAGCUUGUUGGUGAGGUAACGGCUCACCAAGGCGACGAUCCCUAGCUGGUCUGAGAGGAUGACCAGCCACACUGGAACUGAGACACGGUCCAGACUCCUACGGGAGGCAGCAGUGGGGAAUAUUGCACAAUGGGCGCAAGCCUGAUGCAGCCAUGCCGCGUGUAUGAAGAAGGCCUUCGGGUUGUAAAGUACUUUCAGCGGGGAGGAAGGUGUUGUGGUUAAUAACCGCAGCAAUUGACGUUACCCGCAGAAGAAGCACCGGCUAACUCCGUGCCAGCAGCCGCGGUAAUACGGAGGGUGCAAGCGUUAAUCGGAAUUACUGGGCGUAAAGCGCACGCAGGCGGUCUGUCAAGUCGGAUGUGAAAAUCCCCGGGCUCAACCUGGGAACUGCAUUCGAAACUGGCAGGCUUGAGUCUUGUAGAGGGGGGUUAGAAUUCCAGGUGUAGCGGUGAAAUGCCGUAGAGAUCUGGGGAAUAACCGGUUGGCGAAGGCGGCCCCCUGGACAAAGACUGACGCUCAGGUGCGAAAGCGUGGGGAGCAAACAGGAUUAGAUACCCUGGUUAGUCCACGCCGUAAAACGAUGUCUACUUGGAGGUUGUGCCCUUGAGGCGUGGCUUCCGGAGCUAACGCGUUAAGUAGACCGCCUGGGGAGUACGGCCGCAAGGUUAAAACUCAAAUGAAUUGACGGGGGCCCGCACAAGCGGUGGAGCAUGUGGUUUAAUUCGAUGCAACGCGAAGAACCUUACCUGGUCUUGACAUCCACGGAAGUUUUCAGAGAUGAGAAUGUGCCUUCGGGAACCGUGAGACAGGUGCUGCAUGGCUGUCGUCAGCUCGUGUUGUGAAAUGUUGGGUUAAGUCCCGCAACGAGCGCAACCCUUAUCCUUUGUUGCCAGCGAUUAGGUCGGGAACUCAAAGGAGACUGCCAGUGAUAAACUGGAGGAAGGUGGGGAUGACGUCAAGUCAUCAUGGCCCUUACGACCAGGGCUACACACGUGCUACAAUGGCGCAUACAAAGAGAAGCGACCUCGCGAGAGCAAGCGGACCUCAUAAAGUGCGUCGUAGUCCGGAUUGGAGUCUGCAACUCGACUCCAUGAAGUCGGAAUCGCUAGUAAUCGUGGAUCAGAAUGCCACGGUGAAUACGUUCCCGGGCCUUGUACACACCGCCCGUCACACCAUGGGAGUGGGUUGCAAAAGAAGUAGGUAGCUUAACCUUCGGGAGGGCGCUUACCACUUUGUGAUUCAUGACUGGGGUGAAGUCGUAACAAGGUAACCGUAGGGGAACCUGCGGUUGGAUCACCUCCUUACCUUAAAGAA